UACGGAGGGGGCUAGCGUUGUUCGGAAUUACUGGGCGUAAAGCGCCCGUAGGCGGCCUGACAAGUUGGACGUGAAAGCUCCUGGCUUAACUGGGAGAGGCCGUUCAAAACUGUCAAGCUAGAGUCUGGAAGAGGAGAGCGGAAUUCCCGGUGUAGUGGUGGAAUGCGUAGAGAUCGGGAGGAACACCAGUGGCGAAAGCG
rnacentral:rRNA from 1 species